GUUGAUGUGGGUCAGUGUGACAGAAAGAACACUGGUUUUGGAAACCAGAAACCUGGGUUCGAAUCUCAGCUCUACA
rnacentral:tRNA from 1 species